rnacentral:sRNA from 1 species
UAGCAAAUGACCUGCACCUACGCAGGAU